UACGUAGGGAGCAAGCGUUGUCCGGAAUCAUUGGGCGUAAAGCGCGCGUAGGUGGCCUCAUAAGUCCGCUGUGAAAGUCGAAGGCUCAACCUUUGAAAGCCGGUGGAUACUGUGAGACUAGAGUACGGAAGAGGCGAGUGGAAUUCCUGGUGUAGCGGUGGAAUGCGCAGAUAUCAGGAGGAACACCAAUAGCGAAGGCAGCUCGCUGGGACGUUACUGACACUGAGGCGCGAAAGCGUGGGGAGCGAACAGG
rnacentral:rRNA from 1 species